rnacentral:rRNA from 1 species
UGGCCUUGACAUACUAAGAACUUUCCAGAGAUGGAUUGGUGCCUUCGGGAACUUAGAUACAGGUGCCGCAUGGCUGUCGUCAGCUCGUGUCGUGAGAUGUUGGGUUAAGUCCCGCAACGAGCGCAACCCUUUUCCUUAUUUGCCAGCGGGUCAUGCCGGGAACUUUAAGGAUACUGCCAGUGACAAACUGGAGGAAGGCGGGGACGACGUCAAGUCAUCAUGGCCCUUACGGCCAGGGCUACACACGUGCUACAAUGGUCGGUACAAAGGGUUGCUACCUCGCGAGAGGAUGCUAAUCUCAAAAAGCCGAUCGUAGUCCGGAUCGCAGUCUGCAACUCGACUGCGUGAAGUCGGAAUCGCUAGUAAUCGCGGAUCAGAAUGCCGCGGUGAAUACGUUCCCGGGCCUUGUACACACCGCCCGUCACACCAUGGGAGUUUGUUGCACCAGAAGUAGGUAGUCUAACCGCAAGGAGGACGCUUACCACGGUGUGGCCGAUGACUGGGGUGAAGUCGUAACAAGGUAAGCGUAGAUGA